rnacentral:snoRNA from 1 species
GCGCGGUGAUGAUGAACUAUUCCCUUAAACAUUCGCAGUGUUUUGCUGAUAGCUCUCGGCUCGCCGGCUGAGUUAGCUGCUUGAGGCCAAUUUUUUCCUUGGAUGUCUGAGCGC